rnacentral:lncRNA from 1 species
UCUCUUUCUUUCUUUCUUUCUUUCUUUCUUUCUUUCUUUCUCUCUGACAAGCACAUCCUUGUGUUUAAGAGAAGGAAAUGCUUUUUUAUAGAAGUCUGGGAGACCUUGGCAUUAUAUUGUUACAGGAGAAAGUGACCCUAAAGUUUUCUGAAACAUUUGUAUUUUUAUCAGUCUUUGUGUACUGUUAUCAAAUAACAUGUGUUGACCUACAGAAUGGGCUCCGGGCUGUUUCCUUAAAAGGACAGUAAGUGAGCACGGUCCCUGGAGCCCAGAAAUAGUGCUGUUCUUUCAGAAGAUGGCUAGCAUUAGGUCAGACCACCCUUCUCAAUGGUCCUGCUCGCCAGAUGUGCCUGGAACUCUUUUUUUUUUUUUUUUUUUAAGUUCAAGUUUCCAAAAGGGGGAAAAAAAGGUUUGUUUUGAAAAUCUGGUUUUACUUAAGACAUCUCCAUCCUGGAGUGCAUUUCAUAAAUUGCCCACAUAUUUUUCCUAGCAGAGAACUUAACUGGCUGUAAUUUUUAACACAUGGCCACAUCAUGUGAUAUUUUCAAAACACUUACACAUAGCUUUGAGAAGGUCCCUGCAGGAAUGAUCCAUCCUCUCACAGUUGGCCCAUUUUUUAACAGCAUAUCUGCAUUUUCCAUUUAGGAGAGCUAUAUAUUAUUAGCUUACAUUUUUGGGUAGUAAAACAGUGCAUUGCUGAUUGUAAAACAUGGACUUUAUUAUCUGCUGAAAAUUGAUUUGGCAUUUAUAGCCACUGUGUAUUAGACUGUUUUUCUGUUUUUAACAUCAAUGCUUAAAAGCGAUGAUUUGUGUUUAAAAAAAUU